CACCUCCCUUACACUGAGAAGAAGCUUGUGUAAAUCAAGCCACCUUG
rnacentral:tRNA from 1 species